rnacentral:rRNA from 1 species
UGGGGAAUAUUGGACAAUGGAGGGAACUCUGAUCCAGCAAUUCUGUGUGUGUGAAGAAGGUUUUAGGACUGUAAAACACUUUUAGUAGGGAAGAAAAAAAUGACGGUACCUACAGAAGAAGCAACGGCUAAAUACGUGCCAGCAGCCGCGGUAAUACGUAUGUUGCGAGCGUUAUCCGGAAUUAUUGGGCUUAAAGGGCAUCUAGGCGGUAAGACAAGUUGAAGGUGGAAACCUGUGGCUCAACCAUAGGCUUGCCUACAAAACUGUUGAACUAGAGUACUGGAAAGGUGGGUGGAACUACACGAGUAGAGGUGAAAUUCGUAGAUAUGUGUAGGAAUGCCGAUGAUGAAGAUAACUCACUGGACAGAAACUGACGCUGAAGUGCGAAAGCUAGGGGAGCAAACAGG